CGUCGUUGCCUUGGGGAUCCUGUCAUGGACUACAGUCUGCUGUUGCAAGAGGCAAAAAGGAAAACCCAAGAGGAAAAGCAGAUACAAGAUCCUGGAUGCCACGGACCAGGAGAGUCUGGAGCUGAAGCCGACCUCCCGAGCAGGCAGCAAACAGAAAGGCCCCACGAUGAGCAGCAGCCUGAUGCACUCUGAGUCGGAGCUGGACAGCGAUGAUGCCAUCUUCACAUGGCCAGACCGGGAGAAGGGCAAACUCCUGCACGGUCAGAAUGGAUCUGUGCCAAACGGGCAAACACCACUGAAGACCAGGAGCCCACGGGAGGAGAUCUUAUAGCCCCCUGGUCUGUCACAACAGUCUGGGCCUCAGUGCUAGGGCCCAGAACACCUCUAGGCUGAUUCCUGACCUCCUGGGUCUGAGGGCAGCCGCUAAGCUGUGAAUGAAAAGGUUUUCUCUAUAAACCUAGGUGGUAGGCCCCCAAAGUGUUCUCAUCUCAGGGCCUCACUGCACACACCUCCCAGCCUGAGAGCAGACAAACAGGCCCACAGCCUCUCCUCUGCUGUGGAGCAGUGCAGCUGGGCCCAGCACACACAGUGAAGCUUACUGUCCCCCCCGCAUCUGGCAGAGAUCCAGGAGCCACCAGCCUCCUGAUGGCAGGGCCUAGCUCUGGGCAUAUUCUUUGGUCUGCUUCUCUGGGACAGUAGGCCCUGCCCUCCCAGGGCCACUGAUGCGGGUGGUGACGCAGAGCUGCUGUGGCCCCUCAGCUCCGCUGGCUUGUUUAUCAGGGACAUCCAGGCUCAGGCCACCGCAUUC
rnacentral:lncRNA from 1 species